rnacentral:rRNA from 1 species
CAUUACCGAGUUUACAACUCCCAAACCCCUGUGAACAUACCUAUACGUUGCCUCGGCGGAUCAGCCCGCGCCCCGUAAAACGGGACGGCCCGCCCGAGGACCCUAAACUCUGUUUUUAGUGGAACUUCUGAGUAAAACAAACAAAUAAAUCAAAACUUUCAACAACGGAUCUCUUGGUUCUGGCAUCGAUGAAGAACGCAGCAAAAUGCGAUAAGUAAUGUGAAUUGCAGAAUUCAGUGAAUCAUCGAAUCUUUGAACGCACAUUGCGCCCGCCAGUAUUCUGGCGGGCAUGCCUGUUCGAGCGUCAUUUCAACCCUCAAGCUCAGCUUGGUGUUGGGACUCGCGGUAACCCGCGUUCCCCAAAUCGAUUGGCGGUCACGUCGAGCUUCCAUAGCGUAGUAAUAAUACACCUCGUUACUGGUAAUCGUCGCGGCCACGCCGUAAAACCCCAACUUCUGAAUGUGACCUCGGAUCA